rnacentral:lncRNA from 1 species
UCGCUGAGUCUCUGGUAUCAAUCAUGCUGCUCUGUGUAGCAGAAAUUAGUUGAAUUUUGGAUUUUCACAAUCAUGUUCUUGAUUUAAAUGGAAAUUAAUGCUGGUGGACAAAUUCGCAAUGGUUGUACGUAUAUUUCCAUUGCUUGAGGUCUUGUCUGAUACAGCAUGAGCUAACCUGAUCAUCUUUUGAUAUUCAGUAACAGGAGAGAUGUAUGGUCUGCAGGAGCCAAUGAUGGGCAAGUGAUACCUGAGGCCGGUGUCUAUUUGAAGGUAAAAUGGGCGAUGGUUCUAGGUUUCAUAUUAGGUUUUUGAUAGUCUUGAGUAAUUGCCCUACUAUCUUCAUAUUUAAAAAACAGG